GCCACUUAAGCAAACAUAAAAAACAUACCUUAAAGAAUUAAAAGCAAAUCUUUGUCCAAAUUAUUUUUAGUCUGAAUUAGUUCCUCAAGAAGAUUUGUCAAUGAAGCUCUUAACUCAUUUCAGCUGCAUGAUCCUCAUCACCGUCGUUCUCCUCGCGCUUAAAGUAUUUUCAUCAGGCACAGUUCCCGCAGAUAGAAUCCAGGUUCAAACUUCUCGAUGGGGAUUACUCGAACCCAGGCCUUAUUUUCCCCCACCACCGUGGGUGGUGGUCAAACCACCAACGCACCACCCUUGAACAGAAGGUGGUGCCUUUUAAACAAAACACCUUCUGCCAGGAAAUGCUUUUUGGAAAUGAAGCAGAUGGUGAAGGUUAAGCUUAAAGCUGGAGAAGAUAUGAACUUAUGUAUGUGAACAAGUUUCAGCUUCCCUCAUUUGUAUGCCCAACAAUCCAUGAUUAUCAAGUGCUGAAUCAGUUUAUGUUCCAGAUGCAAGAAUGAGCAUCUUUAAAUAAAGGUUUUAGUUGUUGCAUGAUACUAAUUUGGUUGCAUUUUAUCAUCGGAGUUCUUUAGAGGUCAUUAUACA